rnacentral:rRNA from 1 species
CGCGUAGGCGGUUCGAUAAGUAGGGGGUGAAAUCUCACGGCUCAACCGGGAGGCUGCCUUCUAGACUGUCGGACUUGAGCACGGUAGAGGCAGAUGGAAUUCCCGGUGUAGCGGUGGAAUGCGUAGAGAUCGGGAAGAACACCAGUGGCGAAGGCGGUCUGCUGGGCCGUUGCUGACGCUGAGGCGCGACAGCGUGGGGAGCAAACAGGAUUAGAUACCCUGGUAGUCCACGCCGUAAACGAUGGGCACUAGGCGUCGGGGGGAGCGACCCUCCCGGUGCCGUAGCUAACGCUCUAAGUGCCCCGCCUGGGGAGUACGGCCGCAAGGCUGAA